GCAUUAAUGGGGUAGUGGUAACCUGGGUCGUUGCCAUCUCGAGGUGUAAUGUACUUCGACCCGCCGGGGGUUCGAUUCCCUCUUAAUGCA